CAACUUGAAAAACAGAAUAGUGAAAUGGAACAAAAAGUAAAAGCUUUAAACCAAGUCUAUGAAUCUAAACUUGAAGAUAGUAACAGAGAACAGGAACAGACAAAGCAAAUCUUGAUGGAAAAGGAAAAUAUGAUUUUACAAAUGAGAGAAGGACAGAAGAAAGAAAUUGAGGUACUCACACAGAAAUUGUCAGCCAAAGAGGACAGUAUCCAUAUUUUGAAUGAGGAAUAUGAAACCAAAUUUAAAAACCAAGAAAAAAAGAUGGAAAAAAUUAAGCAGAAAGCAAAGGGGAUGAAGAAACGUUAAAGAAAAAAUUAUUGGAUCAGGAAGCCAAACUUAAGAAAGAGCUUGAAAAUACUGUUCUAGAGCUUAGUCAGAAAGAAAAACAGUUUAAUGCCAAAAUGCUGGAAAUGGCACAGGCUAACUCAGCUGGAAUCAGUAAUGCAAUGUCAAGACUGGAAACAAACCAAAAGGAGCAAAUAGAAAGUCUUAAUGAGGCUCAUUGACGAGAACUCAAUGAUGUAGUAUCAGUCUGGGAAACGAAACUUAAUCAGCAAGCUGAGGAACUUCAGGAAAUACAGGAAAUCCAAUCACAGGAAAAAGAACAAGAGGUAGCAGAACUGAAACAAAAGAUCCUCCUAUUUGGGUGUGAAAAAGAAGAGAUGAACAAGGAAAUAACAUGGCUGAAGGAAAAACGUAUUAAGCAGGAUACAACAUUAAAUGAAUUACAGGAACAGUUGAAGCAGAAGUCUGCCCAAUGUGAAUUCUCUAGCACAAGAUGAAACUAAACUGAAAGCUCACCUUGAAAAGCUGGAGGUUGACUUGAAUAAUUCUCUGAAGGAAAAUUACUUUUCUUUUUAUUUAUUUUUUCUUUUUUAUCCGGUCUAAAACAUCUUGUUACAGCAAAUUACUUUUCUUCAAGAGCAGCUAGUUGAACUGAAGAUGCUGGCAGAAGAAGAUAAGCGGAAGGUUUCUGAGUUGACUAGCAAGUUGAAAACCACAGAUGAAGAAUUCCAGAGUUUGAAAUCUUCACAUGAAAGCAGUAAUAAAAGCCUAGAGGACAAGAGCUUGGAAUUUAAAAAACUCUCCGAGGAACUAGCGAUUCAGCUAGAUAUUUGCUGUAAGAGAACCGGAGCCUUAUUAGAAGCUAAAACAAAUAAGCUAAUCAACAUUAGUAGUAGUAAAACUAAUGUCAUUCUCUCUCGGAUUUCUCAUUGUCAGCACCAUACAGCUAAAGUUAAGGAGGCACUGUUAAUUAAAACUUGCAGUUUUGGCCGGGUGCGGUGGCUCACGCCUUUGACAGAGGAGCAAAACACACUAAAUAUUUAUUUUCAACAAGCUACUCAUCAGUUAGAAGAAAAAGAAAAUCAAAUUAAGAGCAUGAAGGCUGAUAUUGAAAGUAUUAUAACAGAAAAAGAAGACUUACAGAAGGAAGGGGGCAAUCAGCAAGAGGCUGCUUCUGAAAAGGAAUCUUGUAUAACACAGUUGAAGAAAGAGAUAUCUGAAAACAUCAAUGCUGUCACAUUGAUGAAAGAAGAGCUUAAAGAAAAUCUGAGAUUAGCAGUCUCAGUAAACAACUGAUUUGAACAUUCAACUUCAAAAUAGUACCAGCCUAUCCAAAAAAGAAGCAGCCAUUUCAUCACUAAAUAAGCAGUAUGAUGAAGAAAAACAUUAAUUACUGGAUCAGGUACAAAAUUUAUCUUUGAAAGUUGAUACUCUGAGUAAAGAGAAAAUUUCUGUUCUUGAGCAGGUAGAUCACUGGUCCAACAAAUUCUCAGAAUGGAAGAAGAAAGCACAGUCAAGAUUUACACAGUAUCAAAACACUAUUAAAGAAUUGCAGAUUAAGCUCGAGUUAAAAUCAAAGGAAGCUCAUGAAAAGGAUGAGCAGAUGAAUUUAUUGAAGGAAGACCUUGAUCAGCAAAACAAAAGAUUUGAUUGUUUAAAGGGUGAAAUGGAAGAUAAGAAGAACAAGAUGGAGAAAAAGGAGUGCAAUUUAGAAAGAGUUAAAGAAUCAAACAGCAUGAAUUGUGGAAUUAGAGGACCAUAUUACCCAGAAACUACUGAAAUAGAGUCCUUAAAUGAAGUUCUUAAAAAUUACAGUCAACAAAAGGAUAUUGAAAACAAAGAAUUGGUUCAGAAACUUGAAUAUUUUCAAGAGUUAGGAGAAGAAAAGGACAACAGGGUUAAAGAAGCUGAAGAAAAGGUCUUAACACUUGAAAAGCAAGUUGCUUCCAUGAAAGCUGAAAUUGAAACUAAGAAGAAAGAAUUGAAUUUAAGUGUGAAAAGCAAAGAAGAGGAGUUAAAGGUACUGGAAGAUAGGCUUGAGUCAGACAGUGCUGCAAAAUUAGCAGAGUUGAAGAAAAAAGCUGACCAAAAAUUGCUGCCAUUAAGAAGCAGCUGUUAUCUCAAAUGGAAGAGAAAGAAGAACAGUAUUUCAGAACAGAAAGCCAUUUGAGUGAGCUAAAUGCAAAAUUGCAGGAAGGAGAAAGGGAAGUUCACAUCUUGGAAGAAAAACUUAAAUCAGUGAAAAGUUCACAAUCAGAAACAUUAAUUGUACCCAGAUUAGCAAAAAAUGUGGCAGCAUGUACUGACCAAGAAGCAGAUUCCCAAGAUUGUGUGCAGAAGUGUUUAACAAAGAAAUUUAACUGAAAAAGAAAAACCAUUGCAGGUGCUGGAGCAAGAAAAAGAAGAGACAAUUUCUUCUCAUUCUGAAAUGUAAUGCAAAUACCAGGAGGUCUUAAUAAAGCUAGAACAUGGUGAAGCAAAGCAAUGUGAAGAUCAAGUUAUGAUAGAUCAUCUUCAAGAAGAACUUGAAGAAGAAACAUUCCUUGAUAGUAUCCCAACAUGUGGAAGAAGGGGGAGGUAAAAAUAACACAGAGGAAAAGCAAGACUUGGAAAAUGUGGUUGAUGAUGUUCAGAAAAUCCUCCAGGAGAAGGAACUAACCUGUCAGAUCUUGGAGCGAAAGAUAAAAGAGAUGGAUUCCUGCUUAGUAAGACAGAAAGAAGGACAUAGAGUUGAAAUGGAAGAGGUGACCUCAAAAUAUGAAAAAUUACAGGCUUUACAACAACAGAUGGAUGGAAAAAAUAAACCCACAGAACUUUUGGAGGAAAACACUGAAGAAAAAUCCAAAUCACAUUUGGUCCAAUCCAAAUUGCAUAGUAACAUGGAAGGCCAGCACAAUGACCUGGAAUUUAAAUUAGCAGGGGCAGAAUGGGGAGAAACAGAAACUGGGCAAGGAGAUUGUUAGAUUUCAGAAAGACCUUCGAAUGUUGAGAAAGGAGCAUCAGCAAGAACUGGAAAUACUAAAGAAAGAAUAUGAACAAGAAAGGGAAGAGAAAAUCAAACAGGAGCAGGAAGAUCUUGAACUGAAGCACAAUUCCAUAUUAAAACAGCUGAUGAGGGAGUUUAAUACUCAGCUGGCACAAAAGGAACAAGAGCUGGAAAUGACCAUAAAAGAAGCUAUCAAUAAGGCCCAGGACGUGGAGGCUGAACUUUUAGAAAGCCAUCAAGAAGAGACAAAUCAGUUACUUAAAAAAAUUGCUGAGAAAGAUGAUGAUCUAAAACGAACAGCCGAAAGAUAUGAAGAAAUUCUUGAUGCUCAUGAAGAAGAAAUGACUGCCAAAGUAAUGGACCUGCAGACUCAACUUGAGGAGCUGCAGAAGUAAUAUCAGCAAAAGCUAGAGCAGGAGGAGAACCCUGGCAAUGAUAAUGAAACAAUUAUGGAGCUACAGACACAGCUAGCACAGAAGACGACUUUAAUCAGUGAUUCAAAAUUGAAAGAGCAAGAGUUCCAAGAACAGAUUCACAAUUUAGAAGACCAUUUGAAGAAAUAUGAAAAGAACGUAUAUGCAACUGUGGGGACACCUUACAAAGGUGGAAAUUUGUAUUAUACUGACGUAUCACUCUUUGGAGAACCUACCGAGUUUGAGUAUUUCUGAAAAGCGCUUUUUGAGUAUCUGAUGGUUCCUGAGACUAAGACCAUGGCAAAAGUUAUAACCACUGUACUGAAGUUCCCUGAUGAUCAGACUCAGAAAAUUUUGGAAAGAGAAGAUGCUAGGCUAAUGUCACGACUCUGAGCUUCAUCUUGAAGAAGAGCGCUGCUGGGCGACUGCUGCUUGGAAACUGUCCACACUUGCUAUUCUGAGUGAGGUUGUCAUUCCGGACCCCUCAUGUAGCCAAAGGACCAGGAGAAAUCUGGCCUGCAGA